UGCGGCGCGCGGCGGCGGCUCCCGGGCGUCCCGGGCCCGGUGGCGGCGCGGCUGUGGUUGGCUGAGCGCCGCGGGCCGCCCCCCGCCCGCCCCCUCCCCUGCUCCCCUCCCCCGCCUCCCGCGGCGGCUGGCGUCGGGAAAGUACAGUAAAAAGUCCGAGGGCAGCCGCCGGGCGCAGGAUGGGAUCCGGCUCCUCCAGCUACCGGCCCAAGGCCAUCUACCUGGACAUCGAUGGACGCAUUCAGAAGACAUACGGCGAGCGCCUUGCAGAGUCUCACGGUGGCACUGUCUUCUCUUUUGCAGCACUCCCUACAAAGUGAGACCUGUGGCCAUCAAGCAACUCUCUGAGAGAGAAGAAUUAAUCCAGAGCGUGCUGGCGCAGGUUGCAGAGCAGUUCUCAAGAGCAUUCAAAAUCAAUGAACUGAAAGCUGAAGUUGCAAAUCACUUGGCUGUCCUAGAGAAACGCGUGGAAUUGGAAGGACUAAAAGUGGUGGAGAUUGAGAAAUGCAAGAGUGACAUUAAGAAGAUGAGGGAGGAGCUGGCGGCCAGAAGCAGCAGGACCAACUGCCCCUGUAAGUACAGUUUUUUGGAUAACCACAAGAAGUUGACUCCUCGACGCGAUGUUCCCACUUACCCCAAGUACCUGCUCUCUCCAGAGACCAUCGAGGCCCUGCGGAAGCCGACCUUUGACGUCUGGCUUUGGGAGCCCAAUGAG
rnacentral:sRNA from 1 species